rnacentral:rRNA from 1 species
ACCGAUAGUGAACCAGUACCGUGAGGGAAAGGCGAAAAGAACCCCGGCGAGGGGAGUGAAAAAGAACCUGAAACCGUGUACGUACAAGCAGUGGGAGCACAGGUUUACCUGUGUGACUGCGUACCUUUUGUAUAAUGGGUCAGCGACUUAUAUUCUGUAGCAAGGUUAACCGUAUAGGGGAGCCGGAGGGAAACCGAGUCUUAAUUGGGCGUUAAGUUGCAGGGUAUAGACCCGAAACCCGGUGAUCUAGCCAUGGGCAGGUUGAAGGUUGGGUAACACUAACUGGAGGACCGAACCGACUAAUGUUGAAAAAUUAGCGGAUGACCUGUGGCUGGGGGUGAAAGGCCAAUCAAACCGGGAGAUAGCUGGUUCUCCCCGAAAGCUAUUUAGGUAGCGCCUCGUGAAUUCAUCUCCGGGGGUAGAGCACUGUUUCGGCUAGGGGGCCAUCCCGGCUUACCAACCCGAUGCAAACUGCGAAUACCGGAGAAUGUUAUCACGGGAGACACACGGCGGGUGCUAACGUCCGUCGUGAAGAGGGAAACAACCCAGACCGCCAGCUAAGGUCCCAAAGUCAUGGUUAAGUGGGAAACGAUGUGGGAAGGCCCAGACAGCCAGGAUGUUGGCUUAGAAGCAGCCAUCAUUUAAAGAAAGCGUAAUAGCUCACUGGUCGAGUCGGCCUGCGCGGAAGAUGUAACGGGGCUAAACCAU